UAAGUCGACCGCCUGGGGAGUACGGCCCGCAAGGUUAAAACUCAAAUGAAUUGANGGGGGCCCGCACAAGCGGUGGAGCAUGUGGUUUAAUUCGAUGCAACGCGAAGAACCUUACCUACUCUUGACAUCCANNGAANUUNGCAGAGAUGCNUUAGUGCCUUCGGGAACNNUGAGACAGGUGCUGCAUGGCUGUCGUCAGCUCGUGUUGUGAAAUGUUGGGUUAAGUCCCGCAACGAGCGCAACCCUUAUCCUUUGUUGCCAGCGAUUCGGUCGGGAACUCAAAGGAGACUGCCGGUGAUAAACCGGAGGAAGGUGGGGAUGACGUCAAGUCAUCAUGGCCCUUACGAGUAGGGCUACACACGUGCUACAAUGGCGCAUACAAAGAGAAGCGACCUCGCGAGAGCAAGCGGACCUCACAAAGUGCGUCGUAGUCCGGAUCGGAGUCUGCAACUCGACUCCGUGAAGUCGGAAUCGCUAGUAAUCGUGGAUCAGAAUGCCACGGUGAAUACGUUCCCGGGCCUUGUACACACCGCCCGUCACACCAUGGGAGUGGGUUGCAAAAGAAGUANNGUAGCUUAACCUUCGGGAGGG
rnacentral:rRNA from 1 species